UACGUAGGGAGCAAGCGUUGUCCGGAAUCAUUGGGCGUAAAGCGCGUGUAGGCGGCCCAGUAAGUCCGCUCUGAAAGCCCGGGGGCUCAACCCCCGGGAGGCGGGUGGAUACUGCUGGGCUCGAGUCCGGAAGAGGCGAGUGGAAUUCCUGGUGUAGCGGUGGAAUGCGCAGAUAUCAGGAGGAACACCGAUGGCGAAGGCAGCUCGCUGGGACGGUACUGACGCUGAGGCGCGAAAGCGUGGGGAGCGAACAGG
rnacentral:rRNA from 1 species